rnacentral:tRNA from 1 species
ACAGUGGUGGUUCAGGAGUAGAAUUCUCGCCUUCCGUGUAGGAAACCCCGGGUUCGAUUCCUGGCCAACGUA